AGUGAACGCUGGCGGUAGGCCUAACACAUGCAAGUCGAACGGCAGCACAGGAGAGCUUGCUCUCUGGGUGGCGAGUGGCGGACGGGUGAGGAAUACAUCGGAAUCUACUCUGUCGUGGGGGAUAACGUAGGGAAACUUACGCUAAUACCGCAUACGACCUACGGGUGAAAGCAGGGGACCUUCGGGCCUUGCGCGAUUGAAUGAGCCGAUGUCGGAUUAGCUAGUUGGCGGGGUAAAGGCCCACCAAGGCGACGAUCCGUAGCUGGUCUGGGAGGAUGAUCAGCCAGACUGGAACUGAGACACGGUCCAGACUCCUACGGGAGGCAGCAGUGGGGAAUAUUGGACAAUGGGCGCAAGCCUGAUCCAGCCAUACCGCGUGGGUGAAGAAGGCCUUCGGGUUGUAAAGCCCUUUUGUUGGGAAAGAAAUCCAGCUGGCUAAUACCCGGUUGGGAUGACGGUACCCAAAGAAUAAGCACCGGCUAACUUCGUGCCAGCAGCAGCCGCAG
rnacentral:rRNA from 1 species